rnacentral:rRNA from 1 species
UACAGAGGGUGCAAGCGUUAAUCGGAAUUACUGGGCGUAAAGCGUGCGUAGUCGGUUAUCUAAGUCGGAUGUGAAAUCCCCGGGCUCAACCUGGGAAUUGCAUUCGAUACUGGAUAGCUAGAGUUCGGCAGAGGGAAGUGGAAUUUCGGGUGUAGCGGUGAAAUGCGUAGAUAUCCGAAGGAACAUCAGUGGCGAAAGCGACUUCCUGGACCAGAACUGACGAUCAGGCACGAAAGCAUGGGGAGCAAAAGGG